GUCCCCAUUGCCCCCUGCCCACCCCUACCCUUCAAGGGCAGGGAGGUCUGGCAGGGAGUACAUCUUCAGGGCAGAGAAUGAUUCCCAUCCUGAGACACGCUGCAUCCUCAUCAUCGUCACUGACUGCAAUGCCACCCACAGCAGCACUGUGCACACAGUCAAGGAGUGUGGCAUCGUGCGCUACAUCAUUGGGGUACAGCCCACACUGCACCAUGGGGCCAUGCAGGGACCAUCGUGUCCCUGACCCCCAUCUCCACCCCACAGGUGGGGAACAACUUCCGCAAUACACACAACCAGAACCUCUGUCACCUUUGUCACCAUCCUUGACAGCUUCUGGCACCUGUGUGGGACAUUAUUUAGGGCCUAUGGGGCCAUUUGGGGCCAUUAUAUGGAGCUGUUUGAGGAUAUUUGGGCCCUUUGGGGCCUUUAUUUGGGUACAUUUAGGACAUUUGGGGACGUUAUUUGGGGACUUUUGAGGCAUUUGGGGACAUUACUUGGGGACAGUGGUGUAAUUUGGGGCCAUUUGGGGCCCUGUGUGGGGUAGGAGGGUGUAUGGGGAUGUGUGUGGCAGGAGGGGAUGUGGGAACAUGGGAUUUGGGAGGGGAUUGGAAUUAGAGAUAGGAAUUGGACAUGAGAUUGGGAUUGGGGUUGGGAUGGAAGGGGAUUGGUGAUCAUCUGAGGUGAGCAAUGAGUCAGCCACGGGAACCGUGGUGAAGGCACAGGUGAAGGCAAUUCAGCUGUGCUGCCGGAAGGGAUGGAGCCUGGCUCCACCUCUCCUAGGCCCAUUUAAGAGCUGACUGCCAGGGGGGAAAGAUUUCUUUUGGAGAUCCAUUCUACUGGAGUUUCAUAAGCAAGCCCAGGAUAUAGGUCACUUACAGCCCUUCCUGGCAGCCUGCAGUAACCAGUUCUUUCUCCAUCAUUGCUCUGCCUCGCUUCACAACUCCAGGCUGGACACUCCAAACAUGGAGAAGCUCCUGGGUGUAUAGCAGCACCUCUCUGCUAUAAGGAUCCCCGAGACACAAACUCCUGAACGCGUCUAGGACUAGGAGUGGAUCCAGCUGUGCUGAGGAACCUUACCUCUGUGGUUUGAAGAGUUCACACAGCAAUGGGCUUGGCUCUGAUCCUCAUGAAACAGCAGGAGAGCAUCCUCUAGGAAACCGAGGUCCAGAAUCUUUAUGAAAGCAAUCCCACUGUGCCCUUCACAAAACCACUCCCCUGAGACUGAGCACAGGGGCACAGCCGAUGGCAGCAUCAGCUCAAGGGGACACAGCACUGGAAAUGCAGCGACAGUGAGAACGCCAUCAGCGACAACCACAACCCCCAAGUCCAUCGGACACGGUGCUGGAGGCCAGUGACAGCAACACUGCAAUGACGACGCCAGGAGCUCCCUGCGGCUGCCAACACCACCCCGCUGGCGUUCCCCUCUCACAGCUCCCCGUGGAUGUCAGGCAGCAGGUGGCAGCGGUGAUGGUGGCCACGGCGGCAGACACGGCGCGCAGGUCACGGCGCAUCAGGCACAGGCAGCGCGUGGUAGCAACUGCCCCAGCUCGGGCUCAGCCCAGAGGCCCCCCCCAGGCCUUCCAGCAGCCGCACAGCUGCACUGAAACCACGUCCCAGCAUCUCAGCCAUCGCGCCCCACAGCCACCCCUCGCCCACCCCCAGCCACUGCUGCAGCAGUGAGGGGCCCCCCAGGGACACCCCUGGCAGCGGCACUUGGGCCGCACUAUCCUCCUCCACCUCCUCGGUCUCCGACGCCUCCCGCGGAACCCUCAGCCCUGCUGUGGGGAUCCCGGCCGCGCUCCCCCCCCGGCUCCGGCUCUGAGUCAUCUCCGAGGCCUCGCCCCGCACCAGCGUGAGGUAAAGAGGAGAGGUCACGGUCUGCGAGAGGGGAACAAAAGGGAGGAGGUGGAAUUCGGGGGAAGAACGGCCCCAUCAGGCACGGAGACCGCUGCCCCUUCUCCCGAGUCCCAGGGGAAUACCCCGCAAAACAGGUCCGUGACCCCCCGGCCCCCGUGCCUUCUCCACCCCCUUCCCAGCCCCACGGGGCCCCCAGAACGCGUCCUGCACCAGCAGCUCCAGCAGGACGCCUUGGAUUCCCUUCCUGGCCCUGCGUGACUCCCGCGUCCCAAUAACGCGCCAGACCCACCGCCCAGCCCCGCGAGGACCUGUGUUUCCUCAGCCCUGUACAGCCGGCUCCCCUGGUCACGUGACGCACACCCUAGCUGCUGUCCGUCGCGCCGGGUGGCGUCACGCCUCCGCACGCCUGUUACCCCG